rnacentral:piRNA from 1 species
UAAGAGUUGGAUUUCAUCCCUCAGUGC